CGACCUCAGAGCAGGCGAGACUACCCGCUGAAUUUAAGCAUAUUACUAAGCGGAGGAAAAGAAACUAACAAGGAUUCCCCCAGUAGCGGCGAGCGAACAGGGAAGAGUCCAGCACCGAACCCCGCAGGCUGCCGCCUGUCGUGGCAUGUGGUGUUUGGGAGGGUCCACUACCCCGACGCCUCGCGCCGAGCCCAAGUCCAACUUGAAUGAGGCCACGGCCCGUAGAGGGUGCCAGGCCCGUAGCGGCCGGUGCGAGCGUCGGCGGGACCUCUCCUUCGAGUCGGGUUGCUUGAGAGUGCAGCUCCAAGUGGGUGGUAAACUCCAUCUGAGACUAAAUAUGACCACGAGACCGAUAGCGAACAAGUACCGUGAGGGAAAGUUGAAAAGAACUUUGAAGAGAGAGUUCAAAAGUACGUGAAACCGUUCUGGGGUAAACGUGAGAAGUCCGAAAGGUCGAACGGGUGAGAUUCACGCCCAUCCGGCCACUGGCCUCCGCCCUCGGCAGAUGGGGCCGGCCGCCCGCGCGGAGCAAUCCGCGGCGGGGUCGUGUCCGGUUGCCUUUCCACUCGCCGCGGGGUGGGGCCGUUCCGGUGUGCGGUGGGCCGCACUUCUCCCCUAGUAGGACGUCGCGACCCGCUGGGUGCCGGCCUACGGCCCGGGUGCGCAGCCUGUCCUUCCGCGGGCCUCGGUUCGCGUCUGUUGGGCAGAGCCCCGGUGUCCUGGCUGGCUGCCCGGCGGUAUAUCUGGAGGAGUCGAUUCGCCCCUUUGGGCGCUCGGGCUCCCGGCAAGCGCGCGCGGUUCUUCCCGGAUGACGGACCUACCUGGCCCGGCCCCGGACCCGCGCCGCUGUUGGCUCGGGAUGCUCUCGGGCGGAAUAAUCGCUCCCGUCAGCGGCGCUUCAGCUUUGGACAAUUUCACGACCCGUCUUGAAACACGGACCAAGGAGUCUAACAUGUGCGCGAGUCAUUGGGCUGUACGAAACCUAAAGGCGUAAUGAAAGUGAAGGUCUCGCCUUGCGCGGGCCGAGGGAGGAUGGGGCUUCCCCGCCCUUCACGGGGCGGCGGCCUCCGCACUCCCGGGGCGUCUCGUCCUCAUUGCGAGGUGAGGCGCACCUAGAGCGUACACGUUGGGACCCGAAAGAUGGUGAACUAUGCCUGGCCAGGACGAAGUCAGGGGAAACCCUGAUGGAGGUCCGUAGCGAUUCUGACGUGCAAAUCGAUCGUCGGAGCUGGGUAUAGGGGCGAAAGACUAAUCGAACCAUCUAGUAGCUGGUUCCCUCCGAAGUUUCCCUCAGGAUAGCUGGUGCUCGUACGAGUCUCAUCCGGUAAAGCGAAUGAUUAGAGGCCUUGGGGCCGAAACGACCUCAACCUAUUCUCAAACUUUAAAUGGGUGAGAUCUCCGGCUUGCUUGAUAUGCUGAAGCCGCGAGCAAACGACUCGGAUCGGAGUGCCAAGUGGGCCACUUUCGGUAAGCAGAACUGGCGCUGUGGGAUGAACCAAACGCCGAGUUAAGGCGCCCGAAUCGACGCUCAUGGGAAACCAUGAAAGGCGUUGGUUGCUUAAGACAGCAGGACGGUGGCCAUGGAAGUCGGAAUCCGCUAAGGAGUGUGUAACAACUCACCUGCCGAAGCAACUAGCCCUGAAAAUGGAUGGCGCUGAAGCGUCGUGCCUAUACUCGGCCGUCAGUCUGGCAGUCAUGGCCGGUCCUUGCGGCCGGCCGCGAAGCCCUGACGAGUAGGAGGGUCGCGGCGGUGGGCGCAGAAGGGUCUGGGCGUGAGCCUGCCUGGAGCCGCCGUCGGUGCAGAUCUUGGUGGUAGUAGCAAAUACUCCAGCGAGGCCCUGGAGGGCUGACGCGGAGAAGGGUUUCGUGUGAACAGCCGUUGCACACGAGUCAGUCGAUCCUAAGCCCUAGGAGAAAUCCGAUGUUGAUGGGGGCCGUCAUAGCAUGAUGCGCUUUGUGCUGGCCCCCGUUGGGCGAAAGGGAAUCCGGUUCCUAUUCCGGAACCCGGCAGCGGAACCGAUACAAGUCGGGCCCCUCUUUUAGAGAUGCUCGUCGGGGUAACCCAAAAGGACCCGGAGACGCCGUCGGGAGAUCGGGGAAGAGUUUUCUUUUCUGCAUGAGCGUUCGAGUUCCCUGGAAUCCUCUAGCAGGGAGAUAGGGUUUGGAACGCGAAGAGCACCGCAGUUGCGGCGGUGUCCCGAUCUUCCCCUCGGACCUUGAAAAUCCGGGAGAGGGCCACGUGGAGGUGUCGCGCCGGUUCGUACCCAUAUCCGCAGCAGGUCUCCAAGGUGAAGAGCCUCUAGUCGAUAGAAUAAUGUAGGUAAGGGAAGUCGGCAAAUUGGAUCCGUAACUUCGGGAUAAGGAUUGGCUCUGAGGAUCGGGGCGUGUCGGGCUUGGUCGGGAAGUGGGUCAGCGCUAACGUGCCGGGCCUGGGCGAGGUGAGUGCCGUAGGGGUGCCGGUAAGUGCGGGCGUUUAGCGCGGGCGUGGUCUGCUCUCGCCGUUGGUCGGCCUCGUGCUGGCCGGCGGUGCAGGAUGCGCGCGCCUGCGCGGCGUUCGCGCCCCGGUGCUUCAACCUGCGUGCAGGAUCCGAGCUCGGUCCCGUGCCUUGGCCUCCCACGGAUCUUCCUUGCUGCGAGGCCGCGUCCGCCUUAGCGUGCUCCUCCGGGGGCGCGCGGGUGCGCGGAUUCUCUUCGGCCGCCAUUCAACGAUCAACUCAGAACUGGCACGGACUGGGGGAAUCCGACUGUCUAAUUAAAACAAAGCAUUGCGAUGGCCCUAGCGGGUGUUGACGCAAUGUGAUUUCUGCCCAGUGCUCUGAAUGUCAACGUGAAGAAAUUCAAGCAAGCGCGGGUAAACGGCGGGAGUAACUAUGACUCUCUUAAGGUAGCCAAAUGCCUCGUCAUCUAAUUAGUGACGCGCAUGAAUGGAUUAACGAGAUUCCCGCUGUCCCUAUCUAAAAAGAGUUUGGCGCACCAGUCCCCAUCUUCUCUCAGAUUUAUACAAUAAAUGUCUGCAGGAAAGAAGAGUCCCAGAUACGUGGAAGGAGGGAAAUGUCUGCAUAUUGCUGAAAUCACUAGACAAACCUAGGGAUGAGCCUAAAUCCUACCGUCCAAUAUGCCUUCUGUCUAUCUUAGGGAAAAUUCUGGAAAGGUUAGUAGUCAGUCGUCUAGAAAAACGCUAUGACGAUUCAAAUAUCAAGGCCCACAACCAGUUUGGGUUUCGAAAGGGCGCAUCGACAGAAAUGGCUAUUAGGCAAGUGUUGGGUAGUGUGGAUUGUGAGGAGAAGUAUGUGGUAGUAAUAUUUGUAGAUAUAGCAGGGGCCUUUGAUAACUUAUGGUGGCCUAGUGUUAUGAGGCGUCUGAGAGCAAUCCAGUGCCCGCGUAAUUUGUAUGACUUAAUGGCAGAUUACUUUAAAAACCGGAAGGUUAUGGUCCAAAAUAGGGCUGGCAGUGUAGAAAAAUUGAUCACAAAGGGUUGCCCACAAGGCUCUAUUUGCGGUCCUUUCCUGUGGAAUCUCGUCUUUGAUGAGAUUGUGAUUGAAAAAGAAGACGAGCAAUGGACAAAAGUGGCAUAUGCGGAUGACCUGGCAAUCAUCAUUAAGGGUCAGAGCAGGAAACAGAUAGAGGACAGAGCAAAAAUCGCGCUGGGUGAGGUAAGCAGAUGGACCACCGAAAACAAGCUAGGGAUAUCCAAACAAAAGACGGUUGCCAUGACCAUCAAGGGUAGAUUUGACAGUCACAGACCACCAACAAUUCCUUUCGAGGGAGGAAAUAUCAAGUUCGUUGCAGAGUUUACAUAUCUCGGUGUAACUCUGGAUGAAAGACUCUGGUUCACACCUCACAUGAGGAACAUCCAGAAUAGAUUAAGUGCUGUCUCAGGUUCCCUCUUGAGGGUAACUAGAACGGAGUGGGGUCUGCAGAAAAAGUCUCUCAGGGUAAUCUAUCAGGGCUUGUGCCUCUCUGUUUGCAGAUAUGGUGCAGCUGCAUGGGCAGACCGGACGAAGCACCGAUAUGUCCAACGUAUAAUUGAGUCAAUCCAGAGGCCAUUUCUGUUACAGAUGACCAGAGCUUGUAGGACUGUAUCGACGGAGGCCUUGCAAGUACUAACAGGAUGUAUGCCGCUCGACCUGGAGAUAGUGAAAGCAGCCUUGCUGUACUAUACUCGACAUGGUGUUGCUGGCUCGGUCGCAGGGUUCCAGGCUCCAAGACCCACUGCUGGGCAAAGCUCUAGACGUGAUACCAGCAGACAAAUAGAUAUCAUGUUGCAGGAGGAGUGGCAGCAUAGAUGGAACCAGACAGCGAAGGGUAGGGAAACCUACGGCUGGAUACCAGAUGUGGGAAUGUGGCAGGCAAGUUGGCGGAGGGCGACGAUUCCACCAUACUCCCUAACGUGCCUGCUGACUGACCACGGUCUGAAAAAGAAAAUCUGCGACCUGGGCAUUGAAGAUGACGCCAGAUGUACAUGUGGUGAGGAAGAGGAUUCCAAUCACAUCCUCUACACCUGUAAGCAGUACGCUGAGCCCAGAAGUCAGCUUAUACAAACAGUAGGACACACAUCCUACCAGAGAAAGGACACUCUGCUCCAAACAGUAGAUAGAUUCUCAGCUAUAAAGGCAUUUGCUGAGGAAGCAUUUGAGAUCAGGGAAGUAGCGAGAAUCAUCAGUGAAGCAAUCUAAAGAAAUAUACAGUAAAUAGUAGGAAACGAUUGCGUCCCAGUACAAGAACCAGUACCAACUGGAAAACAACAUUUUCUUUGACCCAUGAUUCCGAAACAGCCCUGAUAUCUCGCGCACUUGGAGGAGACAUGGCUGAGUGUGGAGGGGUGACGAGCUGACUCUCAGAACCACCGAUGAUGCCUCUACAUGGCUCCUGGGACACCAGUGGCGAGAAGGGAAUGUCGGAGGGCAGAAAUACAAGUACAUGGACAAGAAUUGGCCGAGAUCCUGGGAAACUGGUGAUCGACAGCAUGUGGGCCUCGCCAGCCUGGGGGCUACAGGUUG